rfam:Fonticula alba strain ATCC 38817 unplaced genomic scaffold supercont2.5, whole genome shotgun sequence.
AACCGAAUGGCGAAGUGGAUAACGCGCUCGCCUCCGGAGCGAGAGACCCUGGGUUCGAUCCCCAGUUCGGUUG